AUUUUCAUAGCGGUACCCACAAAAAGCAUGUGCUGACUCCUUGAAAGAAGCGGCCGAACAAACAUGGACUAACCGCCUCAUUCAAGCCCGAUCUCGAGUCAAGCACCGCCAUCGCCACUAGAGCGAUAUGGAGGAAGACGACGAGACGGUUAAGCAGAUGAAAGAAUGUCUUCUUUCUAUUUAGUUCUACAUUUAUAUAUGUAUAUUAUGUAUCUAUAUACAUGAUAGCAUAUGCUGCAUGUCAUUAUCAUUUUCUAUCUUAAACCCUAAACUAUGAAAACCUAUCAAUUUAUAUUGCAGGAUUGUCUAAUCAAGACCAACAAGAAUUGGAAAUUAUGCCAACUAGGUAAUUUCUUUGUAUCCCAACUUUCAUUUGUUGUUAUUUUUAAUCUCCAUUUCACUACCCUAAUUUAUUUUCCCCAAACUGUUUAUAAAAUUAAUUUUAUUUAUAAGUGAAGAAACUUACUUAUUUUUGUGCAUUAAUUAUUAACAAUGU
rnacentral:lncRNA from 1 species